GGCGGCAGCUACACAUGCAGUCGAGCGGUAGCACAGAGAGCUUGCUCUCGGGUGACGAGCGGCGGACGGGUGAGUAAUGUCUGGGAAACUGCCUGAUGGAGGGGGAUAACUACUGGAAACGGUAGCUAAUACCGCAUAACGUCGCAAGACCAAAGUGGGGGACCUUCGGGCCUCAUGCCAUCAGAUGUGCCCAGAUGGGAUUAGCUAGUAGGUGGGGUAAUGGCUCACCUAGGCGACGAUCCCUAGCUGGUCUGAGAGGAUGACCAGCCACACUGGAACUGAGACACGGUCCAGACUCCUACGGGAGGCAGCAGUGGGGAAUAUUGCACAAUGGGCGCAAGCCUGAUGCAGCCAUGCCGCGUGUAUGAAGAAGGCCUUCGGGUUGUAAAGUACUUUCAGCGAGGAGGAAGGCGUUAAGGUUAAUAACCUUAGCGAUUGACGUUACUCGCAGAAGAAGCACCGGCUAACUCCGUGCCAGCAGCCGCGGUAAUACGGAGGGUGCAAGCGUUAAUCGGAAUUACUGGGCGUAAAGCGCACGCAGGCGGUCUGUCAAGUCGGAUGUGAAAUCCCCGGGCUCAACCUGGGAACUGCAUUCGAAACUGGCAGGCUAGAGUCUUGUAGAGGGGGGUAGAAUUCCAGGUGUAGCGGUGAAAUGCGUAGAGAUCUGGAGGAAUACCGGUGGCGAAGGCGGCCCCCUGGACAAAGACUGACGCUCAGGUGCGAAAGCGUGGGGAGCAAACAGGAUUAGAUACCCUGGUAGUCCACGCCGUAAACGAUGUCGACUUGGAGGUUGUGCCCUUGAGGCGUGGCUUCCGGAGCUAACGCGUUAAGUCGACCGCCUGGGGAGUACGGCCGCAAGGUUAAAACUCAAAUGAAUUGACGGGGGCCCGCACAAGCGGUGGAGCAUGUGGUUUAAUUCGAUGCAACGCGAAGAACCUUACCUACUCUUGACAUCCAGAGAACUUAGCAGAGAUGCUUUGGUGCCUUCGGGAACUCUGAGACAGGUGCUGCAUGGCUGUCGUCAGCUCGUGUUGUGAAAUGUUGGGUUAAGUCCCGCAACGAGCGCAACCCUUAUCCUUUGUUGCCAGCGGUCCGGCCGGGAACUCAAAGGAGACUGCCAGUGAUAAACUGGAGGAAGGUGGGGAUGACGUCAAGUCAUCAUGGCCCUUACGAGUAGGGCUACACACGUGCUACAAUGGCAUAUACAAAGAGAAGCGACCUCGCGAGAGCAAGCGGACCUCAUAAAGUAUGUCGUAGUCCGGAUUGGAGUCUGCAACUCGACUCCAUGAAGUCGGAAUCGCUAGUAAUCGUAGAUCAGAAUGCUACGGUGAAUACGUUCCCGGGCCUUGUACACACCGCCCGUCACACCAUGGGAGUGGGUUGCAAAAGAAGUAGGUAGCUUAACCUUCGGGAGGGCGCUACCACUUUGAUCA
rnacentral:rRNA from 1 species